GGCUGCUCCCCUGCUUUCCUCCCGCCACACGCGCUCCCUGUGGUUCUGGUAGCGAAGGGCGAGACUGGGCUCGCCAGGCGGAAGUGGUUGGAGACUGCGUGUUUUCCUAGAAAGUCCUCGACCUUCGUCGGGGAGAGGAGGGGAGUGAUAAAUUGGAAGGCGGACAAGCGACAAGUGCAGUACUGGAAAGACCCAGACAUACUUGGUUGUGACCUCAGGACUCAAUAAAAUAAACAGCUGGAAAUAAGCAGACUACUGUAAGAGUGAAUUGAAAAGAAAACCCAAGGUCACAUCUCCCAAGAAGCAGUAAUGUUCCAGCAAUAAGAAAAGGACAGUUUUUUCUCUUUUGCAUGGUGAGCCUUAUAUGAAUUACAUCAAUUUUGUCACCAAUAUCCAUCAUCAGAACAUUUUGUGGCACUGUGGCUCGAACCACUGUCCAGCUUCCACACUAUCUGCUUGGAAGAGGAUUACCCUUAUUUGGAAGUCUCAGUUUUGAGGAUUUGGGGAAAGCAGGCACGCAAACAGACACACCUUAUUCUUUACAGCAUCAUUUAUACCUCAACUAAGUCAGCUGAGCAAAUGCCUGCUGAAAAGUUCUGAGAGUGGCAUAGCUAAGAAUCAGAAAGGAGAUCUUUCUUUUGGAUUAAGUCAACAGAGUGAUACCCACAAGGAGAACUAUCAAAUAUCAGAUGCGAGAGGUGAAGUGGGGUUAUAAGAUUCUACAUAACACAUUAUAAAAUGGUCACAACAAUCAAGACUAUA
rnacentral:antisense_RNA from 1 species